GGGUCAGUAGGUUGGUCGUGCCACCGGUACGUACCGUCUCACUGAUUCCUCCUUCCUGAAGAACCGUAAUGCCAUUAAUUUGGUGUUGCGGGGAAACAGGACUGUUACCUUGAAAAAAUUAGAGUGUUUAAAGCAAGCUAACGCUUGAAUACAUUAGCAUGGAAUAAUGAAAUAGGACGAUCGAUCCUAUUUUGUUGGUUUCUAGGAUUGACGUA
rnacentral:rRNA from 1 species